rnacentral:rRNA from 1 species
UACGUAGGUGGAAAGCGUUAUCCGGAAUUAUUGGGCGUAAAGCGCGCGCAGGCGGUUUCUUAAGUCUGAUGUGAAAGCCCACGGCUCAACCGUGGAGGGUCAUUGGAAACUGGGGAACUUGAGUGCAGAAGAGAAAAGCGGAAUUCCACGUGUAGCGGUGAAAUGCGUAGAGAUGUGGAGGAACACCAGUGGCGAAGGCGGC